GUGAAUCAUCGAAUCUUUGAACGCAAAUUGCGCCUUUUUCGAAAGCAAUGUCUGUUUGAGGGCACCGUUUAACAAAUAAUGGGCAGCGUUUUUUGUUGCACAGGUUGAUAAGCUUUCCAAGAAUUUUAAAUUUUUGGUGGCGCAUAAUAAACAGCGGGAAAGUUUUUUUCAUUUCUAGGUUGUUAAAAUCUUUCCUUGGUUGGUGAAAAAACAUAUUCUGCCAUUGGGUAUGGCAAUUUCUUUUUAU
rnacentral:misc_RNA from 1 species